rnacentral:lncRNA from 1 species
GCACCCACCACAGCCCAGCCAACAGAACAGUCUCUAGAAUACAAUGCAUGCGUCAGGGAGGGAACCAAGGGAGGGGCGAUCUUGAGGGUAACUGAAGACUGGGCAGGAUGUGCAGGAAAGCUGAGAGAAUCUCCAGUUCAGAGCCCCCAGUCCCAGCAGGGGCAGGUGCCUGAGAGGAUGGAGAAGAGAAUUUUAGAGGUUACUUAAAGGAAGAAAGGAAAGGACCAGACUUUUGGUGCCUGCUUGUUGAUGUGGACACUGAGAACUAGAGCCCAGCGUUUUGCAAUAAAUUACCUAUCUGUAGGCCCCCUCUCCCCAUCCAGGAGCAUCCACUUCCACCCGGUCUGGCAGGGCUGCAAAACAGAGAGCCUGGACUGCUCCCCAAACCUAGGUUCCCG